GACGGGUGAGUAACACGUGGAUAACCUACCUAUAAGACUGGGAUAACUUCGGGAAACCGGAGCUAAUACCGGAUAAUAUAUUGAACCGCAUGGUCCAAUAGUGAAAGACGGUUUUGCUGUCACUUAUAGAUGGAUCCGCGCCGCAUUAGCUAGUUGGUAAGGUAACGGCUUACCAAGGCAACGAUGCGUAGCCGACCUGAGAGGGUGACCGGCCACCACUGGAACUGAGACACGGUCCAG
rnacentral:rRNA from 1 species